ensembl:snoRNA LOC120100332 small nucleolar RNA SNORD116
GGAUCAUGAUGAUUCUCAGUCAAACAUUCCUUGGAAAAGCUGAACAAAAUGAGUGAAAACUCAGCACCGCUAUUGUCAUCAGAACUGAUGUCC